UCCCUGAUUGUCUAGUGGUUAGGACUCUGCACUUUCACUGCAAGGGGCAUGGGUUCAAUUCCUGGUCAGGCAA
rnacentral:tRNA from 1 species